AUGCAAGUCGAACGAGACCUUCGGGUCUAGUGGCGCACGGGUGCGUAACGCGUAGGCAAUCUACCCGAUACAGGGGAAUAACACGGGGAAACUCGUGCUAAUACCGCGUAAUAAAUGAGAAGGCAUCUUCUUAUUUUAAAAGCUUCGGCGGUAUCGGAAGAGCCUGCGUCCUAUUAGCUAGUUGGUAAGGUAACAGCUUACCAAGGCGACGAUAGGUAGGGGAACUGAGAGGUUGAUCCCCCACACUGGUACUGAGAUACGGACCAGACUCCUACGGGAGGCAGCAGUGAGGAAUAUUGGUCAAUGGACGGAAGUCUGAACCAGCCAUGUCGCGUGUCGGAAGACGGCCCUCUGGGUUGUAAACGGCUUUUCUUUGGGAAGAACACGCUCUUGCGAGAGCAACUGACGGUACCAAAGGAAUAAGCACCGGCUAACUACGUGCCAGCAGCCGCGGUAAUACGUAGGGUGCAAGCGUUGUCCGGAUUUAUUGGGUUUAAAGGGUGCGUAGGCGGCUAUUUAAGUCGUGGGUGAAAGCCCGUCGCUUAACGACGGAAUUGCCUGCGAUACUGGAUAGCUUGAGUAUCGUUAAGGUUGGCGGAAUGGGAGGUGUAGCGGUGAAAUGCAUAGAUACCUUCCAGAACACCGAUUGCGUAGGCAGCUGACUAGGCGAUAACUGACGCUGAGGCACGAAAGCGUGGGGAGCGAACAGGAUUAGAUACCCUGGUAG
rnacentral:rRNA from 1 species